rnacentral:rRNA from 1 species
GUGGGGAAUAUUGGACAAUGGGCGAAAGCCUGAUCCAGCCAUGCCGCGUGUGUGAAGAAGGUCUUCGGAUUGUAAAGCACUUUAAGUUGGGAGGAAGGGCUGCUGGCUAAUACCCUGCAGUUUUGACGUUACCAACAGAAUAAGCACCGGCUAACUUCGUGCCAGCAGCCGCGGUAAUACGAAGGGUGCAAGCGUUAAUCGGAAUUACUGGGCGUAAAGCGCGCGUAGGUGGUUCAGCAAGUUGGAUGUGAAAGCCCCGGGCUCAACCUGGGAACUGCAUCCAAAACUACUGGGCUAGAGUACGGUAGAGGGUGGUGGAAUUUCCUGUGUAGCGGUGAAAUGCGUAGAUAUAGGAAGGAACACCAGUGGCGAAGGCGACCACCUGGACUGAUACUGACACUGAGGUGCGAAAGCGUGGGGAGCAAACAGGAUUAGAUACCCCUGUAGUCC